AAAGUCGUAACAAGGUAACCGUAGGUGAACCUGCGGUUGGAUCAUUAACAAAUGAAAGACUAGUUUGUCCAAAAGACAGGCUUUUCUAAACACCAUUGUGAACUGUUUAUUGUCUCUGGUGGGGGAUCUUUUUGAGAACCCACCGAUUUUAUUUGAACCUUGUAGUAUCAUUUGUCUUUAAAUAAAAGUUGAAAUAUAAAAAAAAACAACUUUUGGCAACGGAUCUCUAGGCUCUC
rnacentral:misc_RNA from 1 species